rnacentral:rRNA from 1 species
AGUGAACGCUGGCGGUAGGCCUAACACAUGCAAGUCGAACGGCAGCACAGUAAGAGCUUGCUCUUACGGGUGGCGAGUGGCGGACGGGUGAGGAAUACAUCGGAAUCUACUUUUUCGUGGGGGAUAACGUAGGGAAACUUACGCUAAUACCGCAUACGACCUACGGGUGGAAGCAGGGGAUCUUCGGACCUUGCGCGAUUGAAUGAGCCGAUGUCGGAUUAGCUAGUUGGCGGGGUAAAGGCCCACCAAGGCGACGAUCCGUAGCUGGUCUGAGAGGAUGAUCAGCCACACUGGAACUGAGACACGGUCCAGACUCCUACGGGAGGCAGCAGUGGGGAAUAUUGGACAAUGGGCGCAAGCCUGAUCCAGCCAUACCGCGUGGGUGAAGAAGGCCUUCGGGUUGUAAAGCCCUUUUGUUGGGAAAGAAAAGCAGCAGGUUAAUACCCCGCUGUUCUGACGGUACCCAAAGAAUAAGCACCGGGUAACUUCGUG